rnacentral:rRNA from 1 species
ACGGGGGGGGCAAGCGUUGUUCGGAAUUACUGGGCGUAAAGGGCUCGUAGGCGGCCAACUAAGUCAUACGUGAAAUCCCUCGGCUUAACCGGGGAACUGCGUCUGAUACUGGAUGGCUUGAGUGUGGGAGAGGUGAGUGGAAUUCCCAGUGUAGAGGUGAAAUUCGUAGAUAUUGGGAAGAACACCGGUGGCGAAGGCGGCUCACUGGCUCGUAACUGACGCUCAUGCACGACAGCGUGGGGAUCAAACAGGA